UACAGAGGUGCCGAGCGUUAGGCGGAAUCACUGGGCUUAAAGCGUGUGUAGGCGGAUGCCUAAGUACCUUGUGAAAUCCCACGGCUUAACCGUGGAACUGCUCGGUAUACUGGGUGUCUUGAGCCACUUAGGGGCUACCGGAACAAAUGGUGGAGCGGUGAAAUGCGUAGAUAUCAUUUGGAACGCCAAUGGUGAAAACAGGUAGCUGGGAGUGUGCUGACGCUGAGACACGAAAGCCAGGGGAGCGAACGGGAUUAGAACUAC
rnacentral:rRNA from 1 species